GAUGAACGCUCGCGGCAGGCCUAAUACAUGCAAGUCGAACGGGUGGUCGCAAGACCACUAGUGGCGCACGGGUGCGUAACGCGUAACCAACCUGCCCCGAUCUGGGGGAUAGCCCGCCGAAAGGCGGAUUAAUACCGCAUAUACCCGCAGCCUGGCAUCAGGCAACGGGGAAAGAUUUAUUGGAUCGGGAUGGGGUUGCGUGACAUUAGCUAGUUGGCGGGGUAAGGGCCCACCAAGGCGACGAUGUCUAGGGGACCUGAGAGGGUGAUCCCCCACACUGGCACUGAGAUACGGGCCAGACUCCUACGGGAGGCAGCAGUAGGGAAUAUUGGGCAAUGGGCGAGAGCCUGACCCAGCCAUGCCGCGUGCCGGAUGAAGGCCUUCUGGGUUGUAAACGGCUUUUCUCAGGGAAGAAAAAGACCUUGCGAGGUACACUGACGGUACCUGAGGAAUAAGCACCGGCUAACUCCGUG
rnacentral:rRNA from 1 species